AGGUCCCAUUUCUUAGCUUCUGGGAACAACCACUUCUUUAUCUUGCAAAUAAGGGUAAUUAAACAGGCUGUGCAAGAGUUAACCCAGAGUAGGAGAAUGGCAGAGAAGUGAAAGAACACUGUGGUUGGAGAUUUAAAACCACCCUCUUCCCCAGAGGAGCAGCAGCAGCACCAAGUCGUCCAAGUGGUACCAUGGCAGUUUGUCCUU
rnacentral:lncRNA from 10 species